UCAGAACGAACGCUGGCGGCAGGCCUAACACAUGCAAGUCGAACGAGAAAGCACCUUCGGGUGUGAGUACAGUGGCGGACGGGUGAGUAACGCGUAGGAAUCUACCUAGUAGUGGGGGACAACUCGGGGAAACUCGAGCUAAUACCGCAUACGCUCUUUGAAUCUUCGGAGGAUUAGAGGAAAGUGGGGGAGCUUCGGCCCUCACGCUAUUAGAGGAGCCUGCGUUGGAUUAGCUUGUUGGUGAGGUAAAGGCUCACCAAGGCUACGAUCUAUAGCUGGUCUGAGAGGAUGAUCA
rnacentral:rRNA from 1 species